GCGGGAAUGGUGUAAACGGCAACAUGAGGGUCCUUGCUGCACGGACAGCAGACGCUUGCUCCUGGUUCAAGUCCGGGUUCCCGUA
rnacentral:tRNA from 1 species